CCAAUAGCGUAUAUUAAAGUUGUUGCAGUUAAAAAGCUCGUAGUUGAAUUUCGGGAUCAAUAUUUCGGUCAUGCCGUUGGUAUGCACUGUUAUCAUUGAUUUCUCACCUUCUAAAGAACCGUAAUGCCAUUAAUUUGGUGUUACGGGGAAUUAGGACUGUUACCUUGAAAAAAUUAGAGUGUUUAAAGCAGGCUCACGCUUGAAUACAUUAGCAUGGAAUAAUGAAAUAGGACGUUUGAUUCUAUUUUGUUGGUUUCUAGGAUCGACGUAAUGAUUAAUAGGGAUAGUUGGGGGCAUUAGUAUUCAAUUGUCAGAGGUGAAAUUCUUGGAUUUAUUGAAGACUAACUACUGCGAAAGCAUUUGCCAAGGAUGUUUUCAUUAAUCAAGAACGAAAGUUAGGGGAUCGAAGACGAUCAGAUACCGUCGUAGUCUUAACCAUAAACUAUGCCGACUAGGGAUCGGAUGAUGUUAAUUAUGACUCAUUCGGCGCCUUACG
rnacentral:rRNA from 1 species